GGAGCGAGCCCAGGGAUCGAACCCGCCUCCUCAUGGAUGUGAGUCAGAUUCGUUUGCACUGAGCCACGAAGGGAAAUCCCCAAAUAAACAAAAUGUUAAAGCGCCAUUUCCAUGACAACCAUCUCACUUUCUAACCUAAAAUAGCAGAUGGAAAGGAGGGAGUCCCCUGGAGGUGGGUUGGUAGUCACAUGUUUGUUCCAGAAGUCUUGGCGGCUUAGAAUUGAUACCUUAAUCUUUCUAGUGGCGUCGGGAAUGUCUCCACCUCAGGGCAGGCACUACAGAUUCAGGGCAGGCGAGGAUGAAGAUUUUCUUUCCUAAGGCAGAAGGAUCCUGGUGAAAGCGAAGGUGGACAAGGAGAACCCAUACCUGCUGGAAACUGGAACCACAUACCAGAACCUACGUCAUUGCGUUUUGAAGGAAGAGGCUUUUCCUUUAGCCUCCUAGGCCUCCCCUCAGCCUCAAAAGGUUGACUCAAGAGUCCAUGAUGAGGAGUUCCCGUCAUGGCUCAAUGAAAAGGUCCAGGAACAAUAACCCUGAAGACGACCAGAAACCAUCACUGGAUCAACUGUUGCUGGACUUGAUGACUCUGAAAUGAUCUAAGGAGGGAUUACAAUGCAGACAUCUUUUUUAAAAAACA